UACGGAAGGGGGCUAGCGUUGCUCGGAAUGACUGGGCGUAAAGGGCGCGUAGGCGGUUUGCACAGUCAGAUGUGAAAAUUCCCGGGGCUUAACCUGGGGGCUGCAUUUGAUACGUGUGGGCUUAGUGAGGAAGAGGGUUGUGGAAUUCCCAGUGUAGAGGUGAAAAUUCGUAGAUAUUGGGAAGAACACCGGUGGCGAAGG
rnacentral:rRNA from 1 species